GGGCAACGCGACCCGAAGGGUCCCAUUGACCGGCAGCGGUGUGCGGGCAGAGCCCCUCGGGCACCCCGAGCUCCCCGGCUGCAGCAGCCGUACCGCUCCCGAGUGUGGUCCCCGCCCUCCUCCCGAGCCCGUAUGGAGGCACACAGCCUGGGGCUCGUUUCCCGUCCAAAGCCGCCGUGUAAGGGGUGCUGUGAAGGAGACCCGGACACCUUCAUAUCUCAAUUUUUCUUCCUUAGACAGGAAAUAUGUGUGUGGAAGGGAGGCGUGGGUCGAGAUCGUAAAUUUCAUUGAUUACUUGCAGACUGUACAGAGGAUAUUCAAGCUUUCAUGACAGCUUCUGGAGACAUAACGACUGGACAAUAUUGCCCGAACAGUACAAAGUCUCUUUAACUACUACAAAGAAAUCAGCAGGUAAUUAUAGGCUCGAUUGUACACAUAAUAGGCAUCGGAAAUCGGAGAAUAACUGUAAGCAGCGAUUCUGAACCAGAAGAGGAACAGUGGUGCUUCAAACUCCCACACAAUAGCUGCUCAUUGUGCUGGGUGUCUUAUUCUAAUUAGAGAUACCUGCACAGCAUUGCAAAUACAGACGAGACACGCACAUCCUUACUCUUUCUGCCAGUAAAAUGCAUCCCUUAAAAAAAAAUGAAGAUAGAAAGACAAAGAAACGGGUGGUGGUGCCGAGAUGUGCCCUGCGCCUCUGCAGCGCGCUCUGUGCGGGGCAGAACGAGCGCGGCUCGGUGGGGGCAUUUCGGACAGCAGUGGGGCUGCUGGCAAAGCGACUGUCCUCCAGGUGACCGGAGAAGUGCCUUUGCACCGGGAACGUUAAUAAACAUAAACGAGAGUUUGGCCAAAAUGUACCGAAAUCAACGAUCGCAUGGGGGACAUCGCGCAGCUCUCGUUUCAUUUGGAGUUUUUCGUAUUUGAUAUUAUUUUUAUUGACUUAAGAACAAUUGGAAAGGCACCUAAAUGAAUACAAAUACACAUCUCUGGUACGGACUUUGUUCCUUUAAACAAAUGUUUUCCUUUUGAAAUCACUCUCCCUGCGCAGAAUCCUCUGCCUCUCCUCUCACCAGCAAUCCUCCUAACAGACCCUAACCCCCAGCAAAACCGAGGAGAACUCUCCGAACCACCCCCACCCCCUCCUCUCGAUGUCGGUGCCCAUUUCACGCGAGGGCUCCCUCCAUUUCCGUUCCUUCCAGGUGCGGUUUCCCCCCGGGCUGUCGGGGCCGAGACGAGGCAGAGGGACCCGUGCGGAUGUGCGUGGUGGUCCCGCACCGCCCGUCCCGCAGCCCCGUGCCGGCUCUCCCUGCCCGAGGGGAGCAGCAGCGGAUCCCACCCCGCUUCGCCGUGAAUUACCGCCUGGCCUUGGAGUUCUCUUCCCCUCCAGACAUAGGCUCCUGACUAAACCGUGCUGUGCAAAUAAAACGCAGGGGGAGAGAAGGAGGGGAAGUUGUGUUUCCCAAAACUGAAAGACAGUAAAAAAAGGUCGUCAAAAAUAUCCAGAUGAAGACAGUAAAGGUAAAUCAAAGCAGAACAACUGUUCGCAAUACCACUUGUACUUUUCCUAUUGGGCUGCGCAGUAUUUUUAUUUUUUUUUACCGAGUGGAAGCACCGGCAAGAUGUGCAGGUAUCCGCUUACAUUAUAAACUGCAGUCGGUAUAAAUAUUCUGCUCCGGAGAACAGCUUUAUCACACGCUCCCAAACACCCAAGUAGCCUUUCAAACAAAAGCCACACCUCAGGCG
ensembl:lncRNA